rnacentral:rRNA from 1 species
CCUACGGGGGGCAGCAGUGGGGAAUAUUGGACAAUGGGCGAAAGCCUGAUCCAGCCAUGCCGCGUGUGUGAAGAAGGUCUUCGGAUUGUAAAGCACUUUAAGUUGGGAGGAAGGGUUGUAGAUUAAUACUCUGCAAUUUUGACGUUACCAACAGAAUAAGCACCGGCUAACUUCGUGCCAGCAGCCGCGGUAAUACGAAGGGUGCAAGCGUUAAUCGGAAUUACUGGGCGUAAAGCGCGCGUAGGUGGUUCGUUAAGUUGGAUGUGAAAGCCCCGGGCUC